AAAUUAAAGUUCUGUAUUUUUCAAGUUUAAAUUAAUUACCUUAGGGAUAACAGCGUAAUUUCUCUUUAAAGUUCUUAUUAAAAGGGGAGUUUGCGACCUCGAUGUUGGAUUAAAAUAAAUUUUUGGUGCAGUAACUUAAGUAUUAGGUCUGUUCGACCUUUAAAAUUUUACAUGAUCUGAGUUUAGACCGGCGUGAGCCAGGUUAGAUUCUAUCUUUAAAAUUAUAUUAUAUUUUAGUACGAAAGGACCAAAUAUUGAUUAUAUUAAUUG
rnacentral:rRNA from 1 species